rnacentral:rRNA from 1 species
ACGGGGAGCAGCAGGCGCGAAACCUUUACACUGCACGCCAGUGCGAUAAGGGGACCCCGAGUGCGAGGGCAUACAGUCCUCGCUUUUCGUGACCGUAAGGAGGUCACAGAAUAAGUGCUGGGCAAGACCGGUGCCAGCCGCCGCGGUAAUACCGGCAGCUCGAGUGAUAGCCACUCUUAUUGGGCCUAAAGCGUCCGUAGCCGGCCGAACGGGUCCGUCGGGAAAUCCACUCGCCCAACGAGUGGACGUCCGGCGGAAACCAGUCGGCUUGGGGCCGGGAGACCAGAGAGGUACGUCCGGGGUAGGAGUGAAAUCCUGUAAUCCUGGACGGACCGCCGGUAGCGAAAGCGUCUCUGGAGAACGGACCCGACGGUGAGGGACGAAAGCUUGGGUCUCGAACCGGAUUAGAUACCCGGGUAGUCCAAGCUGUAAACGAUGCUCGCUAGGUGUGGCGUUGGCUACGAGCCAGCGCUGUGCCGUAGGGAAGCCGAGAAGCGAGCCGCCUGGGAAGUACGUCCGCAAGGAUGAAACUUAAAGGAAUUGGCGGGGGAGCAC